AACUAACAUUGGCGGCAGGCCUAACACAUGCAAGUCGAGCGAGGUUUAGAACCGCGCGGCGAACGGGUGCGUAAUACUUGGAAAUCUGCCUUGAAGUGGGGGAUAACUAGCAGAAAUGCUGGAUAAUACCGCAUAAUCCCGCAAGGGCAAAGCGCGCGGCGCUUCAAGAUGAGUCCAAGCCUGAUUAGCUAGCUGGUGGGGUAAAAGCCUACCAAGGCUACGAUCAGUAGCUGGUUUGAGAGAAUGACCAGCCACACUUGAACUGAGAAACGGACCAGACUCCUACGGGAGGCAGCAGUGGGGAAUCUUGCACAAUGGGGGCAACCCUGAUGCAGCCAUGCCGCGUGAACGAUGACGGUCUUCGGAUUGUAAAGUUCUUUUGGCGGGGACGACGAUGACGGUACCCGCAGAAUAAGUCACGGCUAACUUCGUGCCAGCCGCCGCUGUAA
rnacentral:rRNA from 1 species